GGGUAAACGGACUGGACGGGUAGCUUGUCUCCCACAGGGAAACCCCACUUCAGCAGAUAAAUGCUGGUUCUUUGUAACUCUCCGUGAUGGCAUUCCCCAUUGGAACAGACCCAAACGCAGAUCGAGUAAGGUGAAUAACAAAGGAUUUAUUUUCUUAGAGGCAAAUGCGGAAAAAUACUAGGAACAGGGUGGUGAGGGCGGUCCAGAAUCCCAGGUGAGGUGCAGGUUCUUAGGAUCCAGGGGGUACAGAAAAACGUGGCUAGGUUCCCGGGUGAGUGCACAGGAAAACACAACCCACCUGGGGUCCGUUUCAAGUAGGAGGUUUAACAAACUCUGAGUCAUAUAUAUAUAUAUAUAUAUGUAUAUAUAUAUAAAAUGUUUCUUCUAUAAACAUUUUCCCUCAACAAUGAUAACA
ensembl:lncRNA